UCUGCCCUGGUGAGUGUCCUCACCAAGGAGUAUGAGGACGCCGUCAGCAUCGCCACGGCAGUGCUCAUCGUGGUCACUGUGGCUUUCAUCCAGGUGAGUAUUUCCUGAGGUCCCAGUCAGGGUAACCCGGGCAGGACAGGAGCUUCAUGGAGUCCCCACCUUUGAACAGCACAUCUGAUGUGCUUCCUGCCAGGAGUACAGGUCGGAGAAAUCUCUGGAAGAGCUGACCAAGCUGGUUCCUCCAGAAUGUAACUGGUAAGUCAGGGCCUCCCUGGGACUUUUUGGUUCACUGGAGGAGCCAGUGAGCUGGAGAGUUUGGCAAAUGUUUGGUGAAAGUUGUAUCUUUGGUAGUGUCGGACAAGAGAACCACAUCUCACUGGGAGUUCUAAGGCCUGGU
rnacentral:sRNA from 1 species